UAAAAAUUAGUUAAUAUAGAUAUAAUAUAAGUUUGUCAGACUUAAGUAAUUGAAUAAAUAUUUUUAU